UUGAGCGAUACGCUGGGUUUGCUUGAAAGAAAGGCGGAGUAUAAACUAAUGGAUAGGUUUUUUCCACUCAUUGGUACAAACUCCAAAACUUCUUCCAAAUUCGACCUCAAAUCAGGUAGGACUACCCGCUGAACUUAAGCAUAUCAAUAAGCGGAGGAAAAGAAACCAACAGGGAUUGCCUUAGUAGCGGCGAGUGAAGCGGCAAAAGCUCAAAUUUGAAAUCUGGCACUUUCAGUGUCCGAGUUGUAAUUUGAAGAAGGUAUCUUUGGGUCUGGCUCUUGUCUAUGUUUCUUGGAACAGAACGUCACAGAGGGUGAGAAUCCCGUGCGAUGAGAUGUCCCAGACCUAUGUAAAGUUCCUUCGAAGAGUCGAGUUGUUUGGGAAUGCAGCUCUAAGUGGGUGGUAAAUUCCAUCUAAAGCUAAAUAUUGGCGAGAGACCGAUAGCGAACAAGUACAGUGAUGGAAAGAUGAAAAGAACUUUGAAAAGAGAGUGAAAAAGUACGUGAAAUUGUUGAAAGGGAAGGGCUUGAGAUCAGACUUGGUAUUUUGUAUGUUACUCUCUCGGGGGUGGCCUCUACAGUUUACCGGGCCAGCAUCAGUUUGAGCGGUAGGAUAAGUGCAAAGAAAUGUGGCACUGCUUCGGUAGUGUGUUAUAGUCUUUGUCGAUACUGCCAGCUUAGACUGAGGACU
rnacentral:rRNA from 1 species